rnacentral:rRNA from 1 species
GGGUAAUGGAACGGUUUUGGGAAAGCCGGCCAGAGAGGGUGAAAGCCCCGUACAUGAAACCUGAGAUGACAUGGCAGGAUCCAGAGUACCACGAGACACGGGAAACCUUGUGGGAACAGGCGGGGACCACCCCGUAAGGCUAAAUACUCCUCAGUGACCGAUAGUGCAUAGUACUGUGAAGGAAAGGUGAAAAGGACCCCGGGAGGGGA